CUCUGCCUGGCACAUGGCUGUAACCGUAGACUGUAACCCAGAUCAUGUAAUACAUCUGAGGCAUCCCUCCGUCUUUACGAUGGAUGUAUUUUCACACCAAUCAGAGGCGGUUGCUAGGCGGACCAGAAUCGAUCGGCCAAUCAGCGUUAUUCUGCCAACGUUAGCUGACGUAAGUCGUCAUUGCCCGCGACGUGUCUUCUCAUUGGCCGCAGAGAGGCGGAGAAACGAAGUUGGAAAACAGAUUCAAACCACGCUUGAAGAUUUGCUUCCGUUUGCUAAUACUAUGAGAAAACGUCGUUAUCGAGGUCUGGAUGCUAAACUCUGGAGCUGCUUUUUGUCGAACACGAGUGAGACUGGACGCUAUACACACUUGUGGCACGAAGGUGUCACCACUUUGUCCACAUCAUCGUCGAUGAUUGCAAAGACGUCGUCCACUAUCGCAGAGAUGUCGUCCAAGAACGCAGAGACAUGAUCCACAAUCAGAGACAUUGUUCAUGACUCACAGAGACGUGCAAAACCAGGACUGAGUCUGCCAGGUGUCACCACUUCAUCCACAACAUCAUCCACGAUCACAGAGACAUGGUCCAUGAUCGGAGAGACAUUGUUGAGGAUGAGGGAGACAUCGUCCUCGAUCAGAGACAUUGUCCACGAUCGCAGAGACCUUGUCAAAGAUGAGAGAGGCGUUGUCCAUGAUCAGAGAUAUUGUCCCAUGCUUCGUAGAGACCUUGCGAUAGAAUCGGCGGAGACGGGGGUCACCGAUUUGACGGCACUGCCCGCGAUCAUGGAGACAUUGUCGAUGGUCACAGAGACACCGUCUAUGAUCUCAGAGACAUCGUCCACGAUCGCAAAGACAUUGGCCACGAUCACAGACUUUGUCCAUAAUCUCAGAGACAAUGUCCGCGAUCACAGAGACAUAGUCCACGAUCACAGAGAGUCUUUGCUUUGUACAAUGAAGAAGUUCUUUGAGACCAGGACAGAGGCCUCCAGGUGUCACCACUUCAUCCACAACAUCAUCCACGAUCACAGAGACAUGGUCCAUGAUCGGAGAGACAUUGUUGAGGAUGAGGGAGACAUCGUCCUCGAUCAGAGACAUUGUCCACGAUCGCAGAGACCUUGUCAAAGAUGAGAGAGGCGUUGUCCAUGAUCAGAGAUAUUGUCCCAUGCUUCGUAGAGACCUUGCGAUAGAAUCGGCGGAGACGGGGGUCACCGAUUUGACGGCACUGCCCGCGAUCAUGGAGACAUUGUCGAUGGUCACAGAGACACCGUCUAUGAUCUCAGAGACAUCGUCCACGAUCGCAAAGACAUUGGCCACGAUCACAGACUUUGUCCAUAAUCUCAGAGACAAUGUCCGCGAUCACAGAGACAUAGUCCACGAUCACAGAGAGUCUUUGCUUUGUACAAUGAAGAAGUUCUUUGAGACCAGGACAGAGGCCUCCAGGUGUCACCACUUCAUCCACAACAUCAUCCACGAUCACAGAGACAUGGUCCAUGAUCGGAGAGACAUUGUUGAGGAUGAGGGAGACAUCGUCCUCGAUCAGAGACAUUGUCCACGAUCGCAGAGACCUUGUCAAAGAUGAGAGAGGCGUUGUCCAUGAUCAGAGAUAUUGUCCCAUGCUUCGUAGAGACCUUGCGAUAGAAUCGGCGGAGACGGGGGUCACCGAUUUGACGGCACUGCCCGCGAUCAUGGAGACAUUGUCGAUGGUCACAGAGACACCGUCUAUGAUCUCAGAGACAUCGUCCACGAUCGCAAAGACAUUGGCCACGAUCACAGACUUUGUCCAUAAUCUCAGAGACCAUGUCCGCGAUCACAGAGACAUAGUCCACGAUCACAGAGUCUUUGCUUUGUACAAUGAAGAUGUUCUUUGAGACCAGGACAGAGGCCUCCAGGUGUCACCACUUCGUCCACAACAUUGUUCACGAUCGCCAAGACGUCAUCUGCAAUCACAGAGACAUGGUCCAUGAUUGGAGAGACAUUGUCCAUGAUUGCAGAGACAUGUGCAACAAAGAGUUCCUCAUACAAUGAAGGAAUUCAGGACUGAGGCCACCAGAUGAAUCCACAGAAACAACAGGGUCCACCAAAAUGGUGAUGGAGAAGACGACAACAGCAGCUGAAGACCUGAAGUGGAUGAAAGAAAACAAAAGUCAGAAGUGUUAGGAAGCAGUUAGGAUUAGAUAAAAAAACCUCCUCCACUGAGUAACAGUGUUGGUUUUCUAUUGUUAAAGUGAAAAACACUGUUUUUUUUCCCCCUCUACCAUCUAUAAUGUACACUAUUCACAAUAAGUUAGGGAUAUUGUGAGAGACUCAGUGGAUGUCAUACAUACGGUGUUUGUUUCACUUCAGAGAUUUUUGGGAUAGGGAGGCAAUUGUAUUGGGGUGAUAGACACACCUCAUUUUGUGUUUUCCAUGUAAUGGUCUCACUGUGUACAGUGUGCCUUACAUAUUGGGGCAACAAUAUCCCUAACUUAUUCUGAGUAGUGUAGUCUUUGGAAAAUGUGCCCAUGACUAACAUGUCUUUAUUAAAGAACUGUGAGAAUAUUCAACUGCUUAUGAUACAACAUUUUAAUUAAUAAUUGUAUCACAAGCAGUUAAAUGAUCACAAAGAUGCUUAGUAGACAUGUUCAUCUUUGAAAAAUAUGCUCAUAACUACAUUAACCCUAACCAGCUCUAACAAGUGUUUCUUUGUGGUCAAAUCUGUCAUUAUCUUUGCUGUGAUUUGUUAAAUGUUGACUGGAAUAAAA